rnacentral:rRNA from 1 species
AUUGAACGCUGGCGGCAGGCCUAACACAUGCAAGUCGAGCGGAUGAGGAAAGCUUGCUUUUCGAUUCAGCGGCGGACGGGUGAGUAAUGCCUAGGAAUCUGCCUGUUAGUGGGGGAUAACUCGGGGAAACUCGGGCUAAUACCGCUUACGUCCUACGGGAGAAAGUGGGGGAUCUUCGGACCUCACGCUAACAGAUGAGCCUAGGUCGGAUUAGCUAGUAGGUGAGGUAAUGGCUAACCUAGGCGACGAUACGUAACUGGUCUGAGAGGAUGAUCAGUCACACUGGAACUGAGACACGGUCCAGACUCCUACGGGAGGCAGCAGUGGGGAAUAUUGGACAAUGGGCGAAAGCCUGAUCCAGCCAUGCCGCGUGUGUGAAGAAGGUCUUCGGAUUGUAAAGCACUUUAAGUUGGGAGGAAGGGCUGUAAGCUAAUAUCUUGCAGCUUUGACGUUACCAACAGAAUAAGCACCGGCUAACUCUGUGCCAGCAGCCGCCGUAAUAC